UACGUAGGGUGCGAGCGUUAAUCGGAAUUACUGGGCGUAAAGGGUGCGUAGGCGGAUAUAUAAGUUAGAUGUGAAAAGCCCGGGCUCAACCUUGGUCGUGCAUUUAAGACUGUAUAUCUAGAGUAUGUGAGAGGGGGGUAGAAUUCCAAGUGUAGCAGUGAAAUGCGUAGAGAUUUGGAGGAAUACCGAUGGCGAAGGCAGCCCCCUGGCAUAAUACUGACGCUGAGGCACGAAAGCGUGGGUAGCAAACAGG
rnacentral:rRNA from 1 species